GGGGCACAAGACUGGACCUGGGGCGGAGGGGCUAGGGACUGGACCUGGGGCGGAGGGGCUAGGGGUACAAGACUGGACCUGGGGCGGAGGGGCUAGGGGUACAAGACUGGACCUGGGCGGAGGGGCUAGGGACUGGACCUGGGGCGGAGGGGCUAGGGGUACAAGACUGGACCUGGGGCGGAGGGGCUAGGGGUACAGGACUGGACCUGGGGUAGGGGCACAGGACUGGACCUGGGGUGGAGGGGCUAGGGGUACAGGACUGGACCUGGGGUGGAGGGGCACAGGACUGGACCUGGGGCGGAGGGGCUAGGGGUACAAGACUGGACCUGGGGCGGAGGGGCUAGGGGUACAAGACUGGACCUGGGGCGGAGGGGCUAGGGGUACAAGACUGGACCUGGGGCGGAGGGGCUAGGGGUACAAGACUGGACCUGGGGCGGAGGGGCUAGGGGUACAGGACUGGACCUGGGGUAGGGGCACAGGACUGGACCUGGGGUGGAGGGGCUAGGGGUACAGGACUGGACCUGGGGCGGAGGGGCUAGGGGUACAAGACUGGACCUGGGGCGGAGGGGCUAGGGGUACAA
rnacentral:lncRNA from 1 species